UCGAUCGCCUCCUAUCUCGAUCGUGCUCCUUCCAUCUUGUUCUUCUGGGAUUCUUUUCCCCGCAUUCUCUUCUUACAGCGCCGCCGCUUCGGCUUCGGCUCCCAAUGUCUCUCUGGCCCUCUGCUACGAGAAAUCGUGCCGUAAUAUUGCCAACAUCGUCGUCAAUUACCUCGGCGAGAUUGACGCCGACCGCCUCCUCUCCAUCGUCGGCAACGCCAGGAGCCGGAACGGCACCAUAUCCUGCUGGCUUGAAUUACAGUAUGGAGCACAAACAGAUUCUCUGGAGCCCCCUCAGGGAUACAUCUAUUGGGUAGUGGUGGAUGGACAUCGACUUUAUGAGGAUUAUGAUAACUUCGAAGGUGACACUUGCAAAGCUUCUACUAGGGAGUCACCAAAAGACCUGCUCUGGAUUGACCCUCCAUACCCAACCGGGAAAAGGAAUCAAAUAGUCUUAUGCUCAUGAGAUGAUCAUUUCAGAAUGAUAAGAUGAAGAUAAGAAUGGUACUGAUUGUGGUGGGUUAUGCCCUCCAAUGUUCCCCAUCAGUAAUGAAAUUUUUAGGCUCACAACAUUGGUGGAUCUCAAGGAUUGUACCUAUGGUAAAGAAAGAAAAAGAUGAGAAGGAGAGGCAUCAUAUUAUGGAAAAUGUUGGUAACAAAUUUACCUCUUUCUCAUUAAGGUUAGGGUUGAUAACAAAUAGGAUAGGAUACUAGUAAAUUUUACCUAAUCCAGAAAUUUGAAUCUUACCAGAAAACUGGUUUGUGUAUUAAUUUAAUCAAAAAAUAGACUUUAAUAUAGGAUCACUAAAAGGUAUGGAAAAUGUUGGUAUUGAAAUAACUUGAAUUGCACAAUUAUGCAUGGUCCAUUUUUUAAGAAAUAAGAAAAAAGAAACAUUUACAAAGAUCUUUACUUCAACUCAUUUAGAAGUUCAAAAGCUUAAAAUAUUACUAGACAUAGUAUGUUUGAAUUAUAUCUAUUUAAAUUUCUGUUGAGAAAACAAUCACUGAUUAUUCACCUAUUUACUUGCAUAUACUCAUUCACUGUUCUUUAAAGUCCUCCCUCAUAUUGUCCACAUGACUUGAGAUAACUUUUCAGAGAGGUGAAGAACUCUGAUUUCCUGCUGUGCAAGCUCUGUAUGCAGAAAAAUCGUGCCUUGGGGGGGCACUCAUGGAAUCUCCUUUUGUUUUGGUGUACACUUCAUUGAUUUCUUUGUUUAGUACGACAGCAGAAACAGUCAUGACAAAUCAUUACUGCCCAAAAGAAUAAAAAAGGUUUAUAGUA